GGCCGUGUCCCCACAGGUGUCACUGACCAGACUGACCCUGGGGAUGAUCAAUAGUGGCAUUGAUCCAGUAUCGGGGCAAGAUCAGUGCAAUAUUGGUCCAGUAUUGAUCCAGUAUAGAGGCAGGAUCGGUGCAGUAUUGAUCCACUAUUGGUGCAGCAUUUAUCCAGUAUUGAUCACUAUUGGUGCGGUAUUGAUACAGUAUCAGCGCAGGAUGGAUCCAGCAUUGAUCUGGUAUCAGAGCAGGAUCAGCCUGCUAUUGAUCUGACAUUGAUCGUGUAUCAGUGCAGGAUGGAUCCAGCAUUGAUCCGGUAUCAGAGCAGGAUCAGCCUGCUAUUGAUCUGACAUUGAUCAUGUAUCAGUGCAGGAUGAAUCCAGCAUUGAUCUGGUAUUGGAUCAGGACUGGUUUCAUUGAUCUAACAUUGAUCAGGUAUCAGCGCAGGAUGGAUCCAGCAUUGAUCCGGUAUCGGAGCAGGAUCAGCCUGCUAUUGAUCGGACAUUGAUCGUGUAUCAGUCCAGCACAGCUUGGGCAUUAAUCUGGCAUUGAUCCAGCAUUGAUCUGUAUUGAUCCGGCAUCGGCCCGGCAUUGAUUGGGCGCUGCUCGGCAUCAGCCGGGCUUUGCUCUGGGGCUCUGUGUCGGGAUUCAGUUCAUGAAGGAAUUUUGGAA